GCCGGACCGCGCUUCCGGUACAUCGCCUCCCCGCCCGCGCAGGAUCCCUGCGGGCACCCUCCGUCCUCCGGCGAUGUAUCCCGUGACUGGGCGAGCAGACACGGCGCGCGGGCCGAUUUUCCGCCCCGGACGUCCCCGUCCGGGGCUUUUUGU
rnacentral:ncRNA from 20 species